AGUUUGGAGCCUGGAGUGCAGAACCGAUGAAGGGCCCCGCCACAUGAGCCUGCUGCAUUAUGGGAAGCUCUUCCUCCUCCUUCCUGGUUGACGAGCCUGACGGUGAAGGUCGUCCUCGGGGUGGAGCUCUGCCCCCCUCCCCCAACAUGGGAUGUCUGAGGAGCAGCCAGAGCACCUUCAUCCCACGACAGAUAGCCGGGCGCCAACGAGAGCGCAGCACCUCAGAGCUGCAGCUGGAAGGAAGUCGUGGAAGCAUCACACGUUGGAUCCAGAUGAACACGGACAAACAGACCAACCAGCAUCUGUACAGAUGUUUGUCAAGCAUGCAGAACUUUCUGAGAAGAAAAGGAGAUCACAACCAAUCCUAACCGUCUGUCUGUCAGACGAUGAAAGACAAAAGUUCCCAAGACUGAAAUAAACACUGCUUACCAAUUUUACACAAUUCUGACCUGUCUGCAUCAGCCGUCUGCUCUGACCCGUCUGCAUGGACCUUCUGCUCUUACCUGUCUGCAUCAGCCGUCUGCAUGGACCUUCUGCUCUUACCUGUCUGCAUCAGCCUUCUGCCCUGACCAGUCUGCACAGACCGUCUGCUCUUACCUGUCUGCAUUAGCCGUCUGCUCUGACCCGUCUGCAAAGACCACCUGCUCUGACCCGCCUGCAUUAGCCGUCUGCACAGACCGUCUGCUCUGACCUGUCUGCAAAAACCCUCUGCUCUGACCCAUC
rnacentral:lncRNA from 1 species